rnacentral:rRNA from 1 species
GUGUCAGCAGCCGCGGUAAAACGUAGGAGACGAGCGUUAUCCGGAUUUACUGGGCGUAAAGCGCGUGCAGGUGGUUAGAUAAGUCAUGUGUGAAAGCGCCCGGCUCAACUGGGUGAGGCCAUGUGAGACUGUCUGACUGGAGAGAGGUAGAGGCGAAUGGAAUUCCGGGUGGAGUGGUGAAAUGCGUAGAGAUCCGGAGGAACACCAGUGGCGAAGGCGAUUCGCUGGGCCUACUCUGACGCUCAGACGCGACAGCAUGGGGAGCGAACGGGAUUAGAAACCCUUGUAGUCC